CCUUUUCAGUUUGAGGUCUACCUGAAGAUGUUCAGAACAGGCAGUGUCCCCACUGGAAAGGACAUGCUAGACUCUGGGCCCUGGAUUACAGUUGGGUCUCCCUUGAAAGAUGGUAUUCUAAUUAAGCAGGCGCUCAAACUCCUUUACAGCAAUGUGUCGCUAUACAGGAAUCCUAAAUGCUGGAGUUCCCUCAUCAUGAUUUUGGGUAGUAGCAGUUUGCUGGAAAAAAGUGGGCACCUACAUCCCCUAUCCCUGAAAGAGCCACCGCUUGACUUCCAAAAGGGAGUGCUCGCUGCCAGUGGUGGCCUUUUGGAGGAACUGAAGGCAAAAAUUAAUGUUUCUUUACCACCUGCUAUUUUCUCUCCUCAUGUAAUUGCACCAUGAGGCUUGUCUUAUUCUCGCAGUGCAAGCAGUACAACAGAUGCUUUUUUGUGAUCUUCCAUACUUGACUUCCUUCUUGGAGAUAGCCCUGGCUUUUGGGAAUAACUUUUGGGCUCUGAGGCUGUUAUUGGAGCAUCUUUCCUAUGAAGAACAUGUUCUACAUGGCACUGUCAACCUGAUUUUGAGAGAUCUAAAUCGUCAGAAAGCAACAAUGCUAAAACUGUGGCAAAACCUUGGUCCCCAGUACGUGGGUGAAUUCCUUUGCCUGUUCCUGACAUGCAGACAUAAGAAGAUGCAGUCCAUUGGCCUGUUCACUCUGAAUAUUAUUACAGAGAAUCUGCAUAUGUGUCCAUGGGCAAAGCAUCUUUGCAACUUCUUUCACAAUGCAGGAUUAAGGCACCUGCCCCU